GCCCCCUUGGCCCAGUGGUAAGGCGUGUCACUCGUAAAAUCACGUGAUUACCCUUGUACAUGUGAAAGACUUGAGAUGACAAGAUCAGUUGUUCGAAUCAGCUAGGGGGCA